GGCGUUGACGGGGGCUCCCGACCAUGUGGCUCCUGAUUCUUCAGGGAAAGCAGCUGUAGAGAAAUGAGACUACACAGCACCAUCCUCACACGCGCACACCCUCAUCGGCACGCAUUCCGGUACCGUCACCUCGGAGCUGGCCAAACUUGGGGAUCCAAAAGCGGUCCUGCUUCCUAGCGCCGCCGCCGUGGAGCUCUGCAGCGUCGUCCCCCACGAACCUCCCUGCCCCCUGCUCCUGAUUCUCUUUCAGGAAUUUACAAACAUUUUUCCCUAGAUCAAUAUCCGUAUUGAUUAUUCAUUGUGAGCGAGUCGUGUGUCUUUGGUGAUCCAGCUUGCAGAGGGUAGCAGCUAAAGGCUGCUGCAGGGGAAAAAAAUAACAGGAGGUAAGAGGGACCCCAGCUCUGGCUGUGGUCUGCGGCUGUCACAUCUCAGAAGGGAAGAAGAGGAGAAUGCUCCAGGAUGAAAGGAUGGAGAAGGGAGGAAGAGAAAGAGGGAGCAACAGCCAAGAGAGAAUGGUGUGAGGAUUGGACAUCUGGUCCUAGGGAUCUCAAUGGCUUGGAAGAAAGCCCCAUCAUCUUGGGUCUGCUGCUAGGUGCUAAAUGCCGUGGGGUUCUUCCGCUCUGAGAGUGAAAAGUGACUCACGGUUUUGGUGUCUUCCUACGUAAGAGCUUUUGGUGGGGGGAUUCCUUGGCUUGCUGACAGACAAGGAAGGACGCAGCCAGCAGUGAGGUAAAAAAAAAAACAACAAACAAACCAGGAUUCCUUUCCAACCGCCUCGCCGAGGAUGUGCACCCGUUCGUUUUGAUUUGAACAGCUUGCUGCUCUAAAUGGCAUGCGGAAGGAGGAUAAUUAAAAAGGCCAGCAUCACUUACUAAGGAUUACUGGAAAAGACGGUGAGAUGAUGACAGGAAGACAUCUUGGAUCAGAGCCAAAAAAAUAAUAAUCAAGGCAAAUCGAGUCUGCAGUUCGGAGAAAACACCCAUGGCUUGGGAAGCUCCGAUGUGAACAUGGGAACCGCUGGAGUUCCUCAGCUGAGUCUGGGAAUAUUAUUGUGGGCACAAGAGGACAAGAUUCAGGAAAGAGCCAUGGCAUGCCAGCUUACACAGCUAUGCCAUAUGCUGGGAAAAACAACAACAACAACAACAAACCCAAAACAAAUCCACACCAGACCCAAGCACUGAAAGCCAACAUAUCCAUUCCUUUGCAUUGGAGUCUUUCUGCGGGCUCAAAAUCGCUCCAUCUGUUUAAAGCAACUCCAAUCCAUGCCUUCUGCUAGUAGCUGCUCCUCCUCCUGUCUGUCUCCAGGAGCUGCCUCGCCAUUACAGAGUGAUCCUGGGAAGAGCAGUUUGGGGAGAUUCAGUUUUGCAUUGACGAGGCUUCUGGCAAACGUGCCAGGUGGUCAUCUUUGCCAUUUGGACCAACAUAUGGCAGCUGGUUUGGGGAUUCCUCUGUUGUCACCCAGCUGUGGCUUGGUGAGUCCCAAACCAACCAUGAACGCUUUUUAUACAGUGUUUCAAACACACAUGGACAGAGUGGGGACACCAAGGAAUAAAAACAGUUGUAUUUUCUUUU